rnacentral:rRNA from 1 species
UACGAAGGGUGCAAGCGUUACUCGGAAUUACUGGGCGUAAAGCGUGCGUAGGUGGUUUGUUAAGUCUGAUGUGAAAGCCCUGGGCUCAACCUGGGAAUGGCCAUGGAAACUGGCGAACUGGAGUGCGGCAGAGGGGGGUGGAAUUCCGCGUGUAGCAGUGAAAUGCGUAGAUAUGCGGAGGAACACCGAUGGCGAAGGCAAUCCCCUGGGCCUUACCUGACGCUGAGGCGCGAAAGCUAGGGGAGCAAACAGG